UACGUAGGGAGCAAGCGUUGUCCGGAAUCAUUGGGCGUAAAGCGCGCGUAGGUGGCCCCGUAAGUCCGCUGUGAAAGUCAAAGGCUCAACCUUUGAAAGCCGGUGGAUACUGUGGGACUAGAGUACGGAAGAGGCGAGUGGAAUUCCUGGUGUAGCGGUGGAAUGCGCAGAUAUCAGGAGGAGCACCAAUAGCGAAGGCAGCUCGCUGGGACGUUACUGACACUGAGGCGCGAAAGCGUGGGGAGCGAACAGG
rnacentral:rRNA from 1 species